CCUACGGGAGGCAGCAGUGGGGAAUAUUGGACAAUGGGCGCAAGCCUGAUCCAGCCAUGCCGCGUGAGUGAUGAAGGCCUUAGGGUUGUAAAGCUCUUUCACCGGUGAAGAUAACGACGGUAACCGGAGAAGAAGCCCCGGCUAACUUCGUGCCAGCAGCCGCGGUAAUACGAAGGGGGCUAGCGUUGUUCGGAAUUACUGGGCGUAAAGCGCACGUAGGCGGACAUUUAAGUCAGGGGUGAAAUCCCGGGGCUCAACCUCGGAACUGCCUUUGAUACUGGGUGUCUUGAGUAUGGAAGAGGUAAGUGGAAUUGCGAGUGUAGAGGUGAAAUUCGUAGAUAUUCGCAGGAACACCAGUGGCGAAGGCGGCUUACUGGUCCAUUACUGACGCUGAGGUGCGGAAGCGUGGGGAGCAAACAGGAUUAGAUACCCUGGUAGUCCACGCCGUAAACGAUGAGUGCUAGCCGUCGGGCAGUUUACUGUUCGGUGGCGCAGCUAACGCAUUAAGCACUCCGCCUGGGGAGUACGGUCGCAAGAUUAAAACUCAAAGGAAUUGACGG
rnacentral:rRNA from 1 species